rnacentral:snRNA from 1 species
AAGUGCCUAUGAAUGCUCACUAACAUACACUAACAUUGGAAAAUUGAAACAAUACAGAGAAGAUUAGCAUGGCCUCUGUGCAAGGAUGAUAUACAAAUUAGUGAAGUGUCCCAUUUAAAA